rnacentral:rRNA from 1 species
AUUGAACGCUGGCGGCAUGCCUUACACAUGCAAGUCGAACGGCAGCACGGGAGCAAUCCUGGUGGCGAGUGGCGAACGGGUGNGUAAUAUAUCGGAACGUGCCCAGUCGUGGGGGAUAACGUAGCGAAAGCUACGCUAAUACCGCAUACGAUCUAUGGAUGAAAGCGGGGGAUCGCAAGACCUCGCGCGAUUGGAGCGGCCGAUAUCAGAUUAGGUAGUUGGUGAGGUAAAGGCUCGCCAAGCCGACGAUCUGUAGCUGGUCUGAGAGGACGACCAGCCACACUGGGACUGAGACACGGCCCCAGACUCCUACGGAGGCAGCAGUGGGGGAAUUUUUGGGACAAUGGGCGCAA